rnacentral:rRNA from 1 species
UCCAAUCGAACUCGGAGAUAGCUGGUUCUCCCCGAAAUAGCUUUAGGGCUAGCGUCGGAUAUGUGUAGUGGAGGUAGAGCACUGAAUGGGCUAGGGGGCAUAUCGCUUACCGAACCUUAUCAAACUCCGAAUGCCAUAUACAUUAAGUCCGGCAGUCAGACUACGAAUGAUAAGAUCCGUGGUCAAAAGGGAAACAGCCCAGACCGUCAGCUAAGGUCCCAAAGUGUAAGUUAAGUGGAAAAGGAUGUGGGAUUUCUAAGACAACUAGGAUGUUGGCUUAGAAGCAGCCACUCAUUUAAAGAGUGCGUAAUAGCUCACUAGUCGAGAGGUCCUGCGCCGAAAAUGUACCGGGGCUAAACUUACCACCGAAGCUACGGAUUUGCAAGUAAUUGCAAGUGGUAGGGGAGCGUCGUAAUCGGGCUGAAGUCGUACCGGAAGGAGCGGUGGACUGAUUACGAGUGAGAAUGUUGGCAUUAGUAGCGAGAUGUAGGUGAGAAUCCUACAGGCCGAAUAUCUAAGGUUUCCUCAGGAAGGCUCGUCCGCUGAGGGUUAGUCGGGACCUAAGCCGAGGCCGAAAGGCGUAGGCGAUGGACAAUCGGUUGAUAUUCCGAUACCACUACCAUCGUUAUUAUCGAGGGUGUGACGGAGAAGGAUAGUGUGUGCUAGCGAUUGGAAAUGCUAGUCUAAGCGUUUAGGGAGUUACGGUAGGCAAAUCCGCUGUAACAAUUCUGAGGCGUGAUGGGGAAGGUCAUUAAGACCGAAGUACAUGAUUCCAUGCUUCCAAGAAAAGCAUCUAGAGAGAGAAGUAGUGCCCGUACCGCAAACCGACACAGGUAGAUGAGGAGAGAAUCCUAAGGCCGGCGGAAGAAUUGCAGUUAAGGAACUAGGCAAAUUGACCCCGUAAGUUCGCGAGAAGGGGUGCCUGCGAGAGCAGGCCGCAGAGAAUAGGCCCAAGCAACUGUUUAGCAAAAACACAGGUCUCUGCUAAAGCGUAAGCUGAUGUAUAGGGGCUGACGCCUGCCCGGUGCUGGAAGGUUAAGGGGAACACUUAGCGCAAGCGAAGGUGUGAACUUAAGCCCCAGUAAACGGCGGCCGUAACUAUAACGGUCCUAAGGUAGCGAAAUUCCUUGUCAGGUAAGUUCUGACCCGCACGAAUGGCGUAAUGACUUGGGCACUGUCUCAACUGCAAAUCCGGCGAAGUUGUAGUGCGAGUGAAGAUGCUCGCUACCCGCGAUUGGACGGAAAGACCCCGUAGAGCUUUACUGUAGCUUAGCAUUGAAUUCCGGUAUUGUCUGUACAGGAUAGGUGGGAGACUGGGAAACUAGGGCGUCAGCCUUAGUGGAGUCAACCUUGGGAUACCACCCUGACAGUACUGGGGUUCUAACAGGACGCCAUGAAGCUGGUGACUGGACAUUGUUAGGUGGGCAGUUUGACUGGGGCGGUCGCCUCCUAAAAAGUAACGGAGGCGCCCAAAGGUUCCCUCAGAACGGUCGGAAAUCGUUCGUAGAGUGCAAAGGCAGAAGGGAGCCUGACUGCGAGACCCACAAGUCGAGCAGGGACGAAAGUCGGGCUUAGUGAUCCGGUGGUACCUCGUGGGAGGGCCAUCGCUCAACGGAUAAAAGCUACCUCGGGGAUAACAGGCUGAUCUCCCCCAAGAGUCCACAU